AAGUGGGCAGUGAUCUUGUAGAAGAGUAUAAGAUCUUGAGAGGAAUAGAUAGGGCAAAUGCACAGUCCUUUACCCAGAGUAGAGGAAUCAAGAACCAGAUGAUAUAGGUUUAAGGUGAGGGGGGAAAGAUUUAUUAAGAAACUGAGGGAUCACGUUUUUACACAAAGGAUGGUGGGUAUAUGGAAUGAGCUGUCAUAUGAGGUAGUUGCGGCAGGUACAAUUUCAACUUU